UAAAAAUACCAUCUAGGAAGCUGUUGUCUUUUACUUUGAGUAGAAGGUAUGCAUAUAUGCAUGCAUGUAUGUAUAUCUAUGUGUGUAUAUGUGUGUGUGUAUACAUACAUACACAUAAUACAUUUGUAAUAUAUAUGCAUACACAUCAAUAUAUAAAUACAGUCUCUUUAAUGUGUACACACACUGUGACCAUGAAAAAUAAGGGGAGGUAAUCAAAGACUCCUUUGUCUCCCAUCACCUGCAGUUGAAUUACCCAUGGUAGAUGAUAACUGGCUUCUUCAAACAAAUCUACAGAUGUCAUCAGAGAUUGGGCAUGGGAUUUGGUGCUAAGGUUGAUGAGGCCUGGAGACAUCUGAGAUGUAGAUCACAAGAGCUUCUGAAAAUUCAACUAUUAAAUCAACACAAUGUAUCAGAAUAGAGAUAUAAAAAAUGGAUUCCCGGACCAAUAGAACUGAGACGUAACUUCACAUAUCUAAGGAAAGAGGUUAAUUAAAAAAAGAGAUUGAUCAUCUGUGGAAGCCUGGAGGGGGGACCAAUAACCUUCAAUUACUGAGCACUUACCAAAUGUGAGGAAUUGUGCUAAAUAUUUUAUAUAAUUAUCUAAUUAAUCCUUACAACAGUCUCCAAAAGUAGGUAAAGAUAUCCAUUUUUUUUUUUUCAAACCCAAAUCUCUUACUCUUAAUUACUGUGCAAGGAAGAGGAAGUAUUAGUCAACAUAUUUCAAGUAUUAUGGCCCCAUGAUCAAAAUUACCUGUAUGAAGAUGGACAUGUUAGCGCAUCUGGGCCUGGAUACACU
rnacentral:lncRNA from 1 species